UGGGUUCGCCUGCCCACCUAGGGCUGAAGUGCUCUGCGUCUGAGUGAAGAGGGUAAAGCUCGUGGGCCAUGACCAGUGGGUGAGGAGCACUGACUGCCUGGGACUGAAGGAGACUCUAGGCUCUACAACAGCCAUGACCUUGGGAGGACACGCACACCGAGCAAAGAGGAGAGGAGAUGUGACCGAAGGUUUGGGCUACGGGAUGUGAUCUCCUGACAGCUGAAGGCUGCCUCUCCAGUCACCAGUGGAAUCUUGAUAUGGCUGAUAAAGAACAAGCCUAAAUAUUCUUGUUCCAUCCUCUCCUAACUCAUGACUUGGAUGUUAAUGGAUUUCUUACCCUCAAGGUCAAACAUUAUUCCUUUUUUCUACUAGCUUUAACAGUACAGAACUUCAAAUGCCUAUAAAAGUAGGAUAGCCUCUCAAUUCUGAAAUUCCUGUGGGGCUGCUAUCACUGGUGCUCCUACUUCCUUGGACCCUAACUAAUGCUGUGGCCAAUACUGGACUUCUCCCCUGCCCUCAAAGGCCUGGGGUGUGCAUCCACAAUCUCUGACUUUGGAGUUCUGUCUUGAGCACACAGACUAUGCUUCCGUGACUUCCCUGCAAUGUCCUGCUGGAGCUGCAGGUUUGCUUUGGUCCUGAGUUUUAAUAACUCCGUAUCAUAGGACUACCAGACAUGGGGGCUUUUCUAGAAAGUCCCUAUGGAGGCAGGCAUUCAAAGAGACCUGUAUUCCACUUGUAGGGAAGGCUGCAUAAAUUGGUCUUAAAAUGUUUACAGUUAAAGGUUACACUUCACUGUGUAAAGACUUAAAAAGGAGUGCUUGUUUGGUCCACUUUUAUGCCCAGUCCUCAAUCUGAGUAUGGUGGGCUAUAAAUACCUUCAGUCUGUAGAGUAACUAGGGGAGGGUGGAAGGAGGCAAGGAAUUGAAUCUACUUUCUUAAUUAAGCCUUUAAUGCCAUAGUAUCAAGACAAAACCUCCGGUCUCCUGGAGAAAGCCUGAUCUAUUGGUGUUACCAAGAUCUGGUGACUGAAAGUGAAUGUAACAGGUCUCUUGACGCAGCUCUUACUUCCUAUCACCUGAUCUGCCAGCUCUCAAGUGAGCUAAUCUUAAGUAACCAGCCAUAGCUAACUUUUGGAAUUCACACCUAAGUUUAAAACCGUUCUAGUGAAUAAGGCUUCAGGGGCUGUGAGAUGGCAGUACCUCCCAUGCUUCUGUGUUCCCAUGUGGGAUCUUCACAGCCUGUAAAUUGAAUCUUUUCUCUGGAAAUAGUGAGAGGCUUAGGGAAACUGCAAGGAGACAACUUAAUAGCAAACGAAGGCAACCAAGUUAGCUAAGGAUGUUGAGGUUUGGGGUCGCUGUUCCUUCCAGCCUAAAUUAGCUGUUGUCCAGUUUCGGUUCUUGGUCUGUUAAAUCCAAAGACCACCUGGACGUGAGUAUGGUCUCAUCUUCAACUGAAAUAUCCUGCCUGUCUGGGGUUGGGGGAGCUCUUCUAUUAUAUUCUAGAUGUGAAAACUUAAGUAUGUUGCUGACCUAGAGUAGGCUAGAAGUUUUUGUGAUCUCUUUUCCCUGAGAACAUAGGUUGGCAAACCUUUUCUAUAAAGGUCUGGAUAGUAAUGAUCUUAGGUUUUGUGGACUGAGGCAGUAAUUGAGAAUAUUCUGGUGGUACAAAGGAUGAGGAAACUUAAGACUUAUAAAACUAAACCCGGUAUGAAAAUUUGUACAGCUUUAAUAAGAAAAAUAGAACUUUGUCUCUGGAGACCUGAGGUUCAAAUUUCGUGGUCCCAAUCAAAUUGAUAGCAAAAGUUGACUUGUCAAUGCUGAUCUAGAACAAGUCUUUUUCAAAUAGACCUGUAUUACAAGAAUGUACUUCAUCAGCUUUGCUUUAUACCAAUAAAAGCAUCAGCUGAACUAUUACAGGAGUAGGGGUCAGGGGCAUGCUCGAUACAGGUGGUAAAGACGGGGAUAGGGUCAGAAACAAAGGGGUGCAUACAACCCAUUCAAGGACCCAAGUGGAUUGACCUAGGCAAUCUACCAAUACCAUUUCACUCAGUAUGUUGACAACAAAGACCAAUAAUGGAACCAGUCAUCGGUGAGGAGCUGGGGUGGGGCCAGUACCCUCUCACACUGCUAGUGAGACUAUAGAAUGGCGAGACCAUAGCUAUUAAACAGCUGUUCUAUGACUAGAAAGAAUUGGUGUGUCUCUAACCAUGAGGCUGAGGUCUCGAUCUCCCUUGGAUUUCAGUAUAGAACUGCAACUACCCUGGGCCAUAGCACAAAUAAUGGGGUUGUUGGGAUGUAGAAGACCAGCCUAGGUAUACUAGGACUUCCUGUUCUUUGACCUAGCCUCUUGGUUGGGUCCUGAAGGAUAUCUGGCGGAUCUUGGAUAUCUUUACCUCCAGUCCUCCAGGCUGGUCCCCUCAGAGCUCAAAAGCCACCCUAAUUCCAUUUGGUCCUUGAGCUAUGAAGGCAGGAGGGUGGGCGGUAGUGUUAGGCAAUAAAAUACACCUUAAAGGACAAAGAGGCAUAAAAUGUGGUUAAAGGUAGAUUAGGGGAAAGAACCGUGUAUAUAUAGUAAACAUGGUAGAUCCAGCUUCCUGUACUGCAGAAAACGGGAAACCAAUCUUUGAUCUCUUUACUUCUUCUAGUUAAGACUAGACAUGCAGUCAGUUUCUGCCAACUAGAUCCACUUGAGUCUAUCUUAGCAAGCCAGGAUCUGAGAGUAUCCUUCUUGUUUGAGAGGUGUUCUAAUACUGGCACUAGCUUGUAGGGGUCAAGGAAUUUGGGUAGCUUUAGUUUCUCACCUUCCAGGUCCUGGCAGAGGUAUCCGGUCUCCUAGUGGGCAGGUUUCAUGGUGCUAUUCAGACAAUCCUUCUCAGACAGCUAAAAGCUGCUAGUCUUCAAAGCCCUUUUAAACUUAAUCUUGCUUAAGAUAGCCAGAAUGGCUUGUUUCCUAGUCCUCGACUCCCAUCCAGGACUUAAGGUCAUGUUAAGAAUACCUAGCCAUUGAAAUAGGUAGGUGUCCUCAGUUAUGGUAAAGGUCAUUCUGGUUGCAAGAUAAAGCACUGUAGGGGCUGGCUUCCUAGCUUGUACUGGCUGGAAAUACUGAAGGGAAAAAUGGAAGGAUUUAAGAUUUGGAUAGAAGCGAGUGGGCUUAGUGGUGAAUUUAGGAGAAAAGGAACAACUAAGUGGUGUCAAAUACUAGGUAAUCAAAAUUAAGCAUGUAGAUAUGCUAAGUUAAUGAGUUAAACAGCCGUGUGCUAGUUGGAGGAUUCAGGGGGAAGGUCAUUAAUUCAGUCCCAGGCAAUCUUGGUUUGUAUUGCCUAUGGGACAUCAGUACAAACCUCAAACAGGCAAUUAAGACCACUGAACUUAGAAUCCCCUGAAGCAAGGACUGUACCCUGAAGGUAAACGUGGAAUUCAUGGUCUAGGGAGCAUAUAAUUAGCAAACCAUUUCCCAAACUGCCCAUGUGCCAAAAUGGGGCACCUAGGAAAGUCUCUGCGCUUAAUGGUUGGGCAGGGACACAGGCAAAAGGGGGAAAGUAGGUGGUCGUGAAGACUGAAGAACAAAGACUACCACAAGGUGAUCAAAGGAAAGCAAGAGAAGUCAAAUGUGGGUGUCUGAGUUGAAUGGGAUCCUGUCUCGCCCUUAUCAAAAUGGGUAACUUGGUGCCCAUAGAUACUGUUAAAAUAGUGGAACCAGAAGCUUGGCUGGACCACAUAAAGAAGUAAAGAUGGAGUAGAGCAACUCUUGCACAAUAGAGGGGAAGAAAUAAGGGUGGUAUCUUAUGGAGCCUCAAGAUGAGAGCUGUCCCCUAUUAAUCUAUGGGAUCACCCUCUCCAUUAUCCUUAACAUACAAGACUACCUAAGAUAGGGGAUUGUAGAGAAACGCAAAAGGUUUGAUGUAGGCAGAGAACUAGGCUUUAUAGGAGAACAUCGUGUAAGAAGGUAGAUCAGUCAUUAUAGACUAUACAUAGGCCGGUGACAAAGUUCUUCCUGCCACCUUAAGGAGAGAACAGUUGUCAGAAUGGAGACAAGCACGUGCAACGUGCUCUCACACCCAUGUGUAUCUGUUGGUCACAAAUGUGAGGUGGGUGCUAGGGAUGGGAGAAGAUGGUCCGGAUACACUAGCAUCUAAUCCUGCUUGAUCCAGGAAGUUCUCUGCCAUGUUUUCUUGGGGCUCUGGCAUAGGCUUUUGGCUCUUAAAUGUUCUAUGGAGUGAUCCUUGUUUGUGUGGCUGUGGGUGCUGGGGAGGGGAGGAGGGGGAAGCCGGAUAUUCCUGGAGGUAGACAGAGCAAUAGGAUGCUUAAAUGAGCUAGCCUGACUUAGAUCCAGCCAUUUUGACCUUCCCUUGGCCUAAGGGGUACUAAAAAUUUCUCUGGAGAAAUGUGCUGUGACCUUCUAGGUGCUGUUCUGGGAAGCCUCUCCCACAUUAGCCUCAGAAAAGGACUCGGGAGCAUAUCAAAUUGGCUAUCUCCUGUCCUAGUGUCCUAUAAACAGAAGGCUGACUAGUCCUACUUCUAAAAAUACCUGCUCCUUAAACUUAUUACAACUACUUCAGUAUUUCUCAGACAGGACUUGGGUAGGGAACCCUAACUAUACUACUGCAACCAAACAAAGUGAUCCCUAAUCUCCAGAGUCCUGUUUUACCAGUUACCUUCUAGUUCCUUCCACCCCUAAUUGGAAUUAGGGUCCUUUGUAGAGUCUAUAUGCUAUCACAUUUGGAGUCUUGUCUCCAUAUAUAGGCUUCUCCAUCUUUCCUUUCAAUUCUUUUGAACCAGGUUCACCUGUCCUACAGAAUCCUCCCCAUUUGGGACUUUGCCAACUGUAUCUCUGGUGUACUUCAAUACAUUUCCUUCCCUGUGUUUCCUGUAAGUCUGUGGUUGGCUCUGAAAGGAAAUUCGAGUUUACUUCUUGAAGAUUGCCUCUUCCAUAGCCAUGUACUACCAUCGAGAGAGGUGUACUGCUGCUUGCUGAACUUCACAUGGAUUAGGAUCUAGGUCUACUUCCUAGGGAUUGCAAUUAGGCAGCGUUCUCUCUAAAGAGCUAGCCCAUUAAAAAGCAGCAUAAAUGCAGGAUUCCUUGCCUUCACCUACCAGUUCUAUCUUAACCAAAAAUAGUCUCCUUAAAUAACUUUAGCUGAUGGAAGCCAACUGAAACAUCCUCGUGGUGGUCAGCUAAAUAUACAGAAAGGUCUCCUGGAGACCACUGUCCUGCAGCAAUUACAAGGCAUGGCAUUACAGGUGCUCAAAGAACAUGGAGUGCUUCUAUAGAAAUCCAUAAAACAGCAUUAGUUUGUAUAGGUCACAGCUGCCUGGGAGUAAGAUCGUUGGCCUUUGAGAAUAAGUAGGAGAUUGAAACCUGAGCAAAACAAUGCUGUCAGGUUAAAACCUAUAUAUACAUAUAUGUAUACAUGUGUAUAUAUACAUAUAUACCCACCCACAUAGAACCACUUUUAAGAGAUGCUUCUGAAAUGCCAGUACUCAAGAUUCUUAAUGCUAAGGAAAAGCAGAAUUCUGAGGCACUGGGGACCUAUUAGUCCGACUUCUAAAGUCCUUGAAUUUUGUACUUACACUGAUCUGAUCAGACAAGCAGUUUGUUUAAAAGGAAACUACUGAUCCUGUCAGUAAAACUCUAGUUUCCUCUAAAUGGUCAAUGACUCUUAAAACAUGUUCUGUUAAAUAGGAUUUAGUGGGGUAUAUUAGAUACCUACUCAGCUUUCAAAGACCCCAGUCUUGAUUUUUUUUUUUUUCUUAAAUGCAUACUCUCAGGGUGUACACUUGUGCUUGA